rnacentral:rRNA from 1 species
UACGUAGGGGGCAAGCGUUGUCCGGAUUUAUUGGGCGUAAAGAGCGUGUAGGCGGCUAAGCAGGUCAGCUGUGAAAACUCGGGGCUCAACCUCGAGACGUCGGUUGAAACCGCAUGGCUAGAGUCCGGAAGAGGAGAGUGGAAUUCCCGGUGUAGCGGUGAAAUGCGCAGAUAUCGGGAAGAACACCCGUGGCGAAGGCGGCUCUCUGGGACGGUACUGACGCUGAGACGCGAAAGCGUGGGGAGCGAACAGG